rnacentral:rRNA from 1 species
CGAAGGACCAGAGAGACAGGGCCUCCCUAAAUCUAAGCGCCCUCCAACAAAACAGAUGAUAUAAUCUUAAUCUGACAUACGAUACUUAUACAGCCCUAGACAAGGGUCU